rnacentral:rRNA from 1 species
UACAGAGACUGCAAGCGUUGUUCGGAUUCAUUGGGCGUAAAGGGUGCGUAGGCGGCGCGGUAAGUCGGGUGUGAAAUCUCGGAGCUUAACUCCGAAACUGCAUUCGAUACUGCCGUGCUUGAGGACUGGAGAGGAGACUGGAAUUUACGGUGUAGCGGUGAAAUGCGUAGAUAUCGGAAGGAAGACCAGUGGCGAAGGCGGGUCUCUGGACAGUACCUGACGCUGAGGCACGAAGGCCAGGGGAGCAAACGGG